rnacentral:rRNA from 1 species
CCCUUAGAUGUUCUGGGCCGCACGCGCGCUACACUGAUUCAUGCAACAAGUUUUGUCCUUGGCUGAUAGGCCUGGGUAAUCUUUGAACGUGAAUCGUGAUGGGGAUAGAUGAUUGCAAUUAUUCAUCUUCAACGAGGAAUUCCUAGUAAACGAAAGUCAUCAGCUUGCAUUGAUUACGUCCCUGCCCUUUGUACACACCGCCCGUCGCACCUACCGAUUGAAUGGUCCGGUGAAAUCUUCGGAUCUGAGAGAUGUCUGAUUAAUUUCGGACGCCUUUUGGAAAAGUUGCUUAAACCUUACCAUUUAGAGGAAGGUGAAGUCGUAACA